UCCUGGCUCAGGAUGAACGCUAGCGGCAGGCUUAACACAUGCAAGUCGAGGGGCAUCGGGAGUAGCAAUACUUGCCGGCGACCGGCGCAAGGGUGCGUAACGCGUGAGCAACAUGCCCGUAUCAGGGGGAUAAUCCAUGGAAACGUGGUCUAAUACCCCAUAGUAAUUAUGUAAGGCAUCUUAUAUAAUUUAAAGCUUUGGUGGAUACGGAUUGGCUCGCGUGACAUUAGCUAGAUGGUAAGGUAACGGCUUACCAUGGCUACGAUGUCUAGGGGUUCUGAGAGGAAGGUCCCCCCACACUGGAACUGAGACACGGUCCAGACUCCUACGGGAGGCAGCAGUGAGGAAUAUUGGACAAUGGAUGGAAAUCUGAUCCAGCCAUGCCGCGUGCAGGAAAGACGGCCCUAUGGGUUGUAAACUGCUUUUGUAUGGGAGCAAUAAGGGCUACGCGUAGUCCGAUGAGAGUACCAUACGAAUAAGCACCGGCUAACUCCGUGCCAGCCGCUGC
rnacentral:rRNA from 1 species